GGAAUUCAAUUCCGCGCCUGGACUGCUGCUCUGAAAAACCAGAGGCGGAUGCAGAGGGAAAGGGGGCGGUGAACAGAGCAGUCGACUUUAUAGCCGGGCAGCGGCAGAAGCGACAGGAGGUCCAACUUUUUUGCAAUUUGGCCCUUUUCGAGUUUUUUUCCCACAUUUAUGCCCCUGGCAGUUUCAUUUCAAAAAAUGGACCCUUAGCUCGGCGCCGUCAUCAUUGGCGCCGAGCUUGUGUGUGCCGGCGCCAAUACUAUUGGCGCUUAUACGUCAGACGCCGGUGUGAUCUGGAUUGACGUGGCACGUACCUCGGCGCCAUAGAUCUUGGCGCCGAGGUACGUGCCUAUAAAUAGUACCCUACGUCUGGCUUGUUGCUGUGCUCAUUUCAAUUCUUCUAAACUAGAGAUGUCUAGGCGUGGUAAAUAUGCUAAACAAAGGUAAGUUUUGGAUCUGCCUCUUAUUUUGUGAGUCUAUUAUAUUUCUGAUUGUUAUAGAGUUUAUGGAAAUUUAGGAAGGGUCCUUUGACCGGAACUGCCUUCGACCCGUUGCCUUUGCCAAGUGGUGUUCCAGUGCCUAUGUGUUUUUGUGGUGAUCCUUGUAAGGUCGAUAAGUCUGAAGAUCAUGACACCUAUCGACAGAGGUAUUGGAUGUGUGCUAACUUUGCAUUUGAGCCAACUGUUGUUCAACGUCGGAUGAAUUUAAUGGUGAGAAUAGUCUUGUAAUAUGUUUACAUUUGUGAAUGUUUUUGUAAAUGUUUUUUUGCGUACUAAUAAUUGCACAUUUUGUAGACUCCUCCACCGCUAUGUGAUUUUGAGCAGUGGAUUGACACCGAAAUAUCAGAGAAAGAUAAGAAGUGGCUGGAGAAUCUUCAAAAGUGGGAUGCAGAGGACAAAGAGAGGAUGAAAAACAUGUGCAAGAUCCAAGACGCGCAGUCUCCUGUGGCGUCUGGGAAGAGGACACAACCAAACAUGUGCAAGAUCCAAGCUCGACAAUAGAACUGGACUGUAGCCUCAUCAGCAUCAGCAGGGCACACACCAAAAGACUGACGGAGCCAUGUGAUGCCUACUCCAGCAGUCCGUUCAACGCCCUCAGCAGGAAGCUCCCUACCAAGAAAGGCCUCAACUCUAGCCCUCCAUCCGUCAGAGUCACAUUGGCCUGUCACUGCUCUGCCACCAACAUUGAGUCCAAGUAUCUUCUGUGCAUCCUCUAAUGUGACUGUCAUCUCACCAAAAGGAAGAUGAAAACUAUGUGUCUCAGGACGCCACCUACAUAAUUAAAAAAAUAGUGUAAAAGAGCUCAAUGAUUCAAGAAUAUUUUUAUAAAAUCAUAACAAUACCUGUCCACAAGUGCAGUAAUGGCCGCCGAAUCAAUAGUAGGCAACCCGCGUCGUAACUGGUAAGAUAUUACAUCUAGACCUGCUCGUCUGAGGUAAUUAGUGUACCUGUCGUCGAACACCAUGUCUAGGAACCCAUUGUGUGUCCUAGAACGAAGCGUUGCUAGGUCCUACACGGAAAAAUAUUAUAUAAGCAACACCAUUUGUACAACAACAAAUCUACAAAAGAUAUUUACAAUUAAAUACCUGGCCUUCCGACAGAAGGCGCCCCCGGUGGCUCUCGUCGUAGAACGGGUCGAGAAGGUGGAACUGUGCCAUCCUACAAAAUGAAAUUAAUGUUAGUAAGUAAUAUAGCCUUAUUAAAUAAAAUUAAGGUAGUAUCAUUAAACUAAAAAUACAAACCUCGCUAAUCUGCCAACGACAAGUGCGUGAAUUAUGACCAAGUCUACCGCACUUGCCACACUCAUACUGCUCGGGGUCGGUAAGAAAUGGUGUUCUCCUUCCCCUUCUACUCCUACCACCAACCUGAUCCAUAACCAUCUUGUGCCUCGUCCUCUUCCUGGAUCCACGCUUGGUCCAACGACUACUUGGAUCAGCGACAUAUUUUGGGCCAUCGUACGGAGGCCACUCACCCGCGUCACGAUAAGGAAUAAAUCUUGGACUCCAAGUCAACACUAGUUUAUCAAUAGUAAACUCUUGAGGUAUCCUCCUCUCUAAGUCAAAGUUACGAGCUCGAGCAGCUGCGAUUAGAUGAGAACAUGGAAAAUGGUAUUGCCUGGGUGCGCCACAAGUACAUGACAAGUCAUUAAGGACAACCACAUGCUUCCUCGACUCUUGUGACUCGCCGUCAGAAGUAGUACCAGCUUGAAGGAAUACCUCAUAUGUCCCUGACUGUAAGUCAAAACAAUCAACAGUGUGUGUGUGUUUGCCCUUUCCUUUGCCUUCUCUAGAAAGGUCUUAGGCUUUGGAGCCCAUCUCUCUCCCUCAUUCUGCAAUCCAACUGCGUGGGUGUGUCUAUCAUUGAACCAUGCCACAAGCUUGUAAAAGGUAAAUGUCACUAUAGCAGUGACCGGCAUACCACGUAUGCCCAACAAUAAUUUGUUGAAUGACUCGGCCAUGUUACUACACUGGAACUCAUAUCUCCAUCCACCUAAGUCGUGAGCUCUCGUCCACUUCUCCAAAUCCGGCAUCAAUCCAUUCAACCAAUCUCUACCUUCGGCAUUUGUUGCGACUUUGAGCUUUUCUAACUUUUCUCUAAAGAACUUGUCUUCCAGCUGUCGACAUGUCUCCUGGAAAAGCUCAAAGUUAUCCUUGACACCAUCCUUACGCAGAAGAUUCUCAGCAAGGUGUCGAGUACACCACCUGUGAUGCAAAGGAGGGUACCCAUCGAUCUGCUCACGGACCGCGUUGAGUAUUCCCUGGUGCCGAUCUGAUAUUACACCAACUUCCCGUCCUGGGCCAACCACAUGUAUCCGGACCAGUCGCAGGAACCAGCCCCAACUGUCUUUGUUCUCUUUCUCUACCAGAGCAAAUGCUAGGGGAACUAGCUUGUUGUUUGCAUCAACGGAUAUGGCAAUUAGAAGAGUGCCCUGGUACUUGCCGAGAAGAAACGUGCCGUCAAUUGAAAAGACAGGACGACAAUGCCGGAAGGCAUCCACACACUGGGGAAAGCACCAGAACGCACGGAAGAAUAUCUGUCUCCCAUCAAUCCAUGCAUUUGGUUUAGGGAUGUACUCAUAAUGCAUGCCUGGAUUGACCGCCUUCAUUGCAUUUAAAAGAACAGGUAGCCGCUCGUACCCAGACUCCCAGUCCCCAUAUAUCAUCUUCCACGCACACUGCUUAGCCCUCCAAGCUUUACCAUAUGUUAUCUUGUACCCAUCAAACACAUUCUCCACGAUCCUCAUGAUUGUCCUAACCUUCAUAUUUGGUUCCGACUGCAGUAUUCCCAUAAGUCGCUUCCCAAUGAGGGUUGAUGUCAAUUGGCGAUGUUUCAUCGUUAACUCAUGUUCAGCACAUGUGUGUGGCCCCACUACUUUUGUUAUCUUCCACUUUGCGGUGAUCUUUUGAAUCCUAGCACAAACCCUCCAUGAACAGUUGUCCUUGUCGCAUACAACCGUGUAACGACGUUUCUCGUACGAAUGAAGUACUCUAUACGGCCUCUUACGUAAGACUGCAUAAUGCUGCAACCACCUCUUCAAUGCAGUUAGGUCCUUGAAGACCCUACCCUUUUCAAUCAUCAUGCUAGGACCGGCCUCAGGAGCGUCAAGCAGCUCAUCAUCCCUGCCCUCUGCAUUUGCCUGAUGAGAAAGACUAAGAUCGCUGAACUCAUGCACUCUAGGAUCCCGACCGUCUGGAAAAACACGUUGCAACAUCUCAAUGUCACUCUCUGUGAGUUCACCAACCGGGCGAUCAUCAUCUGAAUCGGCAGCCAUAGCAAAGGCAUAUGGCUCCUCUUCAUUCCUAAUCUCAGGACUGUUGGAGGCAAUAAAACCAUCACCGAAGCAGCCACGUGCCUCAGUCUGAGGAUCAACCACAAGAGUAGGAGUCUCUCCUGCAACAUGUACAAGAUGAUCAGUCCCACGUCAAAUGGAAUGAGCAAAGUGCUCAUGGUCCAAAAUGAAGAUGUAAUGCCAAUAAGACUUACUGCAAUUGGUUUGUGCCAAAGGGAUACACGCAGCUAAAUCUGUCUGCAGACCAUCUCCUGGCUGACUUAAUGGGAUCAAAUUGGGGCCAGAUUGAGCAUCAGGAACAGUUGGCACGUCAUCGAUAGCACGAUCAAAGUCUUCAGGGGGACGGUCUACUACAACCGGACGCACCACAACCUCCAUGAGUUGCAAAUGGGUCUUCAUAGCCGAAGUAAUAUAAUUAUCCCAAUCCAGUUGACAAUCAAUUGGGAUGACUCGUCUUAUGACAUUUGGUGGAUGACCGAUAUUAAGCACUCCGUCAACCGCAAUGUCAUCAUCUUCAUGGUAACCGAGCUUUUGUUUAGCCUUUGUAAACAAAUCACUCAAGGAGGGUCUACCAUCGAAUAGUACCGGCACGUGUCGCAUGUCAAUGAACUUGGCAUUUCCAUACGGAUCUUGUUCCACAUUGCCUCCAUGAUAUAAGCUCAAAAAAUUGUCCAUCUAUUUGAAACACCAAUUAAACAUUCAAUAUAAAAUGUGGAUGGUUAUUACCUAACCACAACACACUAAUUACUAGCUACAUAACUAUAAAUAUAACCACAACCCACUAAUAGACUAACCACCUUAUAAAUUACUCAUAUAUAAUAAUUGAAAAUUUUGACAGCACCUCCCCUACACGGGGAGGAUAAAAAACAUGCACAUUUGACUCACUUUCAUAAUAUUCAUUCAAAUUUGCAUUUAUCACAAUAACUCAUAUUCAUCACAUUCAAAAAACAACUAAUUAUAGCAAAACAAUCUAACAUAUUUAACACUAAAUGCUAACACAAUAACAAAAAUAAUCAAAAAUUUACCUUAACGGUCGGGGUCGGGGUCGGGGUUGGACGACGACGACGCGGGCGGGGAGCGGGCUCCAGGGCGGGGCGGCGUGUCGCCGGCCGGUGUAUGGGCGCGGGCGGGGAGCGGGCUCCGGGGCGGGGCGCGUGUCGCCGGCUUGGUGCGCCGGCGGGGAUGGGGCGCGGUCGGGGCUCGACGUUGGGGCGGCGGCCUUGGCGGUGUGGGCCGGCGGCCUUGGCUGGAAGGGGGCGGGGCGCUUGCCGGGGGAGGGGCGGGGCGGGACGGCGCGCCGGCGUCGAGCAGGGGGCGGCGCGGGCGGCCUCCGGUGGUCGCGGCCGCCGUGGAGCAGGGGCGGCGCGGACGGGCUCCGGUGGGCGCGACCACCGUGGAGCAGGGGCGGCGCGCAAACUCCGGUUGGCGCGGGCGUCGGCGAGCGUCGGCGGCGCGAGGGGCAGAGGGAUAGAAGGCCGACGGCGCGGUUUGAAAAUUUUGGUUGAAACUCGGGCGGCUCAGAAUAUAAGGGGUCGGCGCCAUAGAUCUUGGCGCCGACCCCUUGGUACGAAUUUUGCAGACGCGGGGGCGGCGGCGCAGAUGCCAGGAGGUCGGCGCCAAGAUCUAUGGCGCCGACCCCCUGACACGUCGGCUGCCAGGUCAGAUUGUCCGGCGUCAAUAGUAUUGGCGCCGGCACACACAAGCUCGGCGCCAAUGAUGACGGCGCCGAGCUAAGGGUCCAUUUUUUGAAAUGAAACUGCCAGGGGCAUAAAUGUGGGAAAAAAACUCGAAAAGGGCCAAAUUGCAAAAAAGAUGGACAGGAGGUAGAAGGAGACUAGGAGCUCCGCUCGAGGGGAGCGUGAUGCGUGCUACAGUAUACCGCCACAGUUUAGCAAGAGGAAAUCCAGUUCAACGGAGCGGGUUAAAAAAAGAGAGCGGAGGAGGGGAAGCAGCGGGGGAUGUGGAGCUCGAGCGUUGGUUGGGA
rnacentral:lncRNA from 1 species